UUAAGCGACUAAGCGUACACGGUGGAUGCCCUGGCAGUCAGAGGCGAUGAAGGACGUGCUAAUCUGCGAUAAGCGUCGGUAAGGUGAUAUGAACCGUUAUAACCGGCGAUUUCCGAAUGGGGAAACCCAGUGUGAUUCGUCACACUAUCAUUAACUGAAUCCAUAGGUUAAUGAGGCGAACCGGGGGAACUGAAACAUCUAAGUACCCCGAGGAAAAGAAAUCAACCGAGAUUCCCCCAGUAGCGGCGAGCGAACGGGGAGCAGCCCAGAGCCUGAAUCAGUGUGUGUGUUAGUGGAAGCGUCUGGAAAGGCGCGCGAUACAGGGUGACAGCCCCGUACACAAAAAUGCACAUACUGUGAGCUCGAUGAGUAGGGCGGGACACGUGGUAUCCUGUCUGAAUAUGGGGGGACCAUCCUCCAAGGCUAAAUACUCCUGACUGACCGAUAGUGAACCAGUACCGUGAGGGAAAGGCGAAAAGAACCCCGGCGAGGGGAGUGAAAAAGAACCUGAAACCGUGUACGUACAAGCAGUGGGAGCACAGAGCAAUCUGUGUGACUGCGUACCUUUUGUAUAAUGGGUCAGCGACUUAUAUUCUGUAGCAAGGUUAACCGAAUAGGGGAGCCGAAGGGAAACCGAGUCUUAACUGGGCGUUAAGUUGCAGGGUAUAGACCCGAAACCCGGUGAUCUAGCCAUGGGCAGGUUGAAGGUUGGGUAACACUAACUGGAGGACCGAACCGACUAAUGUUGAAAAAUUAGCGGAUGACUUGUGGCUGGGGGUGAAAGGCCAAUCAAACCGGGAGAUAGCUGGUUCUCCCCGAAAGCUAUUUAGGUAGCGCCUCGUGAAUUCAUCUCCGGGGGUAGAGCACUGUUUCGGCAAGGGGGUCAUCCCGACUUACCAACCCGAUGCAAACUGCGAAUACCGGAGAAUGUUAUCACGGGAGACACACGGCGGGUGCUAACGUCCGUCGUGAAGAGGGAAACAACCCAGACCGCCAGCUAAGGUCCCAAAGUCAUGGUUAAGUGGGAAACGAUGUGGGAAGGCCCAGACAGCCAGGAUGUUGGCUUAGAAGCAGCCAUCAUUUAAAGAAAGCGUAAUAGCUCACUGGUCGAGUCGGCCUGCGCGGAAGAUGUAACGGGGCUAAACCAUGCACCGAAGCUGCGGCAGCGACGCUUAUGCGUUGUUGGGUAGGGGAGCGUUCUGUAAGCCUGUGAAGGUGUGCUGUGAGGCAUGCUGGAGGUAUCAGAAGUGCGAAUGCUGACAUAAGUAACGAUAAAGCGGGUGAAAAGCCCGCUCGCCGGAAGACCAAGGGUUCCUGUCCAACGUUAAUCGGGGCAGGGUGAGUCGACCCCUAAGGCGAGGCCGAAAGGCGUAGUCGAUGGGAAACAGGUUAAUAUUCCUGUACUUGGUGUUACUGCGAAGGGGGGACGGAGAAGGCUAUGUUGGCCGGGCGACGGUUGUCCCGGUUUAAGCGUGUAGGCUGGUUUUCCAGGCAAAUCCGGAAAAUCAAGGCUGAGGCGUGAUGACGAGGCACUACGGUGCUGAAGCAACAAAUGCCCUGCUUCCAGGAAAAGCCUCUAAGCAUCAGGUAACAUCAAAUCGUACCCCAAACCGACACAGGUGGUCAGGUAGAGAAUACCAAGGCGCUUGAGAGAACUCGGGUGAAGGAACUAGGCAAAAUGGUGCCGUAACUUCGGGAGAAGGCACGCUGAUAUGUAGGUGAAGUCCCUCGCGGAUGGAGCUGAAAUCAGUCGAAGAUACCAGCUGGCUGCAACUGUUUAUUAAAAACACAGCACUGUGCAAACACGAAAGUGGACGUAUACGGUGUGACGCCUGCCCGGUGCCGGAAGGUUAAUUGAUGGGGUUAGCGCAAGCGAAGCUCUUGAUCGAAGCCCCGGUAAACGGCGGCCGUAACUAUAACGGUCCUAAGGUAGCGAAAUUCCUUGUCGGGUAAGUUCCGACCUGCACGAAUGGCGUAAUGAUGGCCAGGCUGUCUCCACCCGAGACUCAGUGAAAUUGAACUCGCUGUGAAGAUGCAGUGUACCCGCGGCAAGACGGAAAGACCCCGUGAACCUUUACUAUAGCUUGACACUGAACAUUGAGCCUUGAUGUGUAGGAUAGGUGGGAGGCUUUGAAGUGUGGACGCCAGUCUGCAUGGAGCCGACCUUGAAAUACCACCCUUUAAUGUUUGAUGUUCUAACGUUGACCCGUUAAUCCGGGUUGCGGACCAGUGUCUGGUGGGUAGUUUGGACUGGGGCGGUCUCCUCCUAAAGAGUAACGGAGGAGCACGAAGGUUGGCUAAUCCUGGUCGGACAUCAGGAGGUUAGUGCAAUGGCAUAAGCCAGCUUGACUGCGAGCGUGACGGCGCGAGCAGGUGCGAAAGCAGGUCAUAGUGAUCC
rnacentral:rRNA from 1 species